GACGAACGCUGGCGGCGUGCUUAACACAUGCAAGUCGAACGGUAAGGCUCUUCGGGGUACACGAGUGGCGAACGGGUGAGUAACACGUGGGUGAUCUGCCCUGCACUUCGGGAUAAGCCUGGGAAACUGGGUCUAAUACCGGAUAGGACCACUGCCUGCAUGGGUGGUGGUGGAAAGCUUUUGCGGUGUGGGAUGGGCCCGCGGCCUAUCAGCUUGUUGGUGGGGUGAUGGCCUACCAAGGCGACGACGGGUAGCCGGCCUGAGAGGGUGACCGGCCACACUGGGACAGAGAUACGGCCCAGACUCCUACGGGAGGCAGCAGUGGGGAAUAUUGCACAAUGGGCGCAAGCCUGAUGCAGCGACGCCGCGUGAGGGAUGACGGCCUUCGGGUUGUAAACCUCUUUCAGCACCGACGAAGCGCAAGUGACGGUAGGUGCAGAAGAAGGACCGGCCAACUACGUGCCAGCAGCCGCAGUAA
rnacentral:rRNA from 1 species